UAGAUGCGAGAGUAGAGCAUAUCAAUAAGCGGAGGAAAAGAAACUAACAAGGAUUCCCUUAGUAACGGCGAGUGAAGCGGGAAGAGCUCAAAUUUGAAAUCUUCAAGGUUCUACCUUGACGAAUUGUAGUUUAAAGAAGUGUUUUCUGUUAGAUGAGUAGCAAAAGUUCCUUGGAAUGGGACAUCAUAGAGGGUGAGAAUCCCGUAUUUGGUUAUUCAUUCUAGCUUUGUGAUACACUUUCAAAGAGUCGGAUUGUUUGGGAAUGCAGUCCAAAAUGGGUGGUAAAUUUCAUCUAAAGCUAAAUAUUGGCGAGAGACCGAUAGCGAACAAGUACCGUGAGGGAAAGAUGAAAAGAACUUUGAAAAGAGAGUUAAACAGUACGUGAAAUUGUCAAAAGGGAAGCGUUUGACACCAGUGUUGUUUUUCCGAAAAUCAAUUACGAAUGGCUUGAUUUUGUGUUGUAUUGACCUUAUCAGCUUUCUGCACUUUUUUUCGAGUCUUUCUUAAUGCACUUUUCGGUUAACAAGUCAACAUCAAUUUCUUUUGUUGUAAAAGAGUAUUCGGAAGGCGGCUUUCUUUUCGGAGAAAGUGUUUAUAGCCCUAUACUUCUACAAUCAGAGAGAUUGAGGUCUGCAGCGUAGAUCCUUCGGGGUUAGAUACACUUGUGCUAAGUUGUAGCUUUUCAUAGACAACUUGUUGACUACGUUUAGUCAUGCGGCUUACUCGCUUAUGCUAUUUUACCUACGCUUAGGAUGUUGAGCGCAUGUCUCUCUCU
rnacentral:rRNA from 1 species